GCCCUAGUGGCGCAGUUGGUUAGCGCGCGGUACUUAUAAUGCCGAUGUCGUGAGAUCGAGGCUCACCUAGGGCA